AAGGGGCUCUGGUUGCUUAAGCAAGUAGUCUCGAGUUCGAGCCCUUGUGGAUGCAGAAAACUUUCUUGGGAGAGGUCCCCGCAUAUGCGCCCGACCAUACCUCAGAGAAUUAGGCAUGGGCCAUGCCUUGGGAUACCUUGGGAAACCAAAGAAAUCCCAUAUACUAGCGGCUAAGCCAAUUAUGUCCCGAGGCAUCUAAAUUAAGAACAUAACAUAAGAACUUGAUAAUUUUCUAAUAAAAUAAAAGCCAAACAAGUUAUGGAAAAUUGCUCGAUGAAUUAGCUAUCUUUUACUACAUUUUGUUUAGACUUUUCAUCUUGCAGGUACAGUAAAUGAAACUUAUGUACUUUCUCUAUUUUUGUUCCAAAUCUCACCUCAUAAUUCUUUUUACGAACUCUACUCAUCUUAUUUUUGUCCACAAAUGAAAUAGGAAUGUCUUCAUCCACAUUGAGAUUUAAACUUGUAUAAAAUCUGCGCACUUUUGAAAGGUUUCAGUGCAAUCAAGACGGAGCUACAUACAGGCCUGUAGUGGUUGUGAUUCCUUUUUUUCAUAAGGAGAAAUUCAUUCAUAAAACCACAAACGUACAAAGAGCGACAUGAUACAGUGGCCUAAUUAAAACCUUCUUAGGACAACCUCAUGGGACAAAUCACAGGGGAGGAAAGAGUACCACACAUGUCAUGGACUAACAUGAGAGUCCAAUUCAGGUCACUUUGGACCAUUACAAUAAAAGAACAAGUCAAAAACAAAACCUAACACAAAGACCUCCGACGAGAACCGUAACUAGAGACCAACAUAGGAGACUCACAUAAGGGGACCGUAGAAACCCCAAAUAGUAAACCCACCAGAAAGGACCGCAGAACAUCCUAAUUGUCAAAAGAUGCCUUCUAUGAGCAAAAUUAUAGUCCUUUGACACCCAUACAAACUGUAAUUCAUACCAUAGCAGAAACCAGGAGAGAACACGGAGGACGAACAUAGAAACAACAGUAAAAAGACCCAUGAGAAGCACUCCACUUCAACUCAGAACCUGAUAAAGAAAACUCCCUAUGACCAAGCAUAGUUCUUCGGUCGGUGCAGAGUAAAGAAGAGCACCACAUCCCAACAACUACCACCAGCGUCACUAUUGCCGCCACCGUUAAAACAGAGACAAAACAUCAGCUACUAGAUAUCACAACUCUCCCAAGGAGAGACAUAAUCCAGCGUCACUACUGUCACCGCCGCCGAGACAAAGACAACAUCAGUCACCUGAAACACUGCAAAAACAACCAAAAAAAAAAAUUUAAAAAGAGAAAAUCACAAAUUAAAAAUAUAAAAUAAACCAACCCCUCUCCUUGUACCAACAUAGCCGCGCGCUCCCCACCACCUCAUCCUCUAGCAAACCCCACCCACCCCUCUCUUCCUGCUUUCUCCUCUCUCUGUCAUGAUCCCUCACCCCAACUUCCCCUUCACUACAAAUAUUUUGCAUGAAAAAAUAAUAUUUUGCACGAUAAAGAUAAACUCUCCAAAUAGCUAGCCUCAAUAGUAUUUGUUCUAGUGGCUUUGACCCCUCAUACAAAACUACAGAACUGCUUCAAAUUAACAAUAAAUGUAUUAUGCACGAGGGAUAUAUCAUAUAUGGCUCUUUUACCAAACUUCUUAUGUCACAAAAGUUAUAUAUAUCCCUCAAAUAAUUUUAUUUGAAGGACACCCCUACGAAUUUUUUUCAACAAUCAAAACCGUCUAUUGUUCAAGUCUUCAAUCAUAGUUCAUCCUUGCAACAAUAACAAAAUUCAGGAAAAGUAAAAAUCAUUCAGGUAUCUAAUUGGGACCAACAAAAUAGAUGAACAC
rnacentral:lncRNA from 1 species